AAGUGUGGGAAUGACAGUUUUGGAUAAACGAAAAAUAGAAUAGGUGUUCACACUGUGUUCACAAGAGUUUUGCGUUUCCUCAACCACAUCAAUAGGAAUGCAAGCGAACUUAUGAAAAUUAACUAUCUGUGUUGGGAUUAAUAGUGUCAAACUGCGCUGCAUAGGCAUACAGGCAUAGUCCCUUAAGGUUCGCGAGGUUUCAAAGGUCACUGAUUGGGCAGACGGAAAAAAGAAUAUGGGACAGCUCGACUCGUCUUGUGAUCCUGGACUUACAGGGAACUCAAUACACACAUAUACCAACCCACUUGCAGAAAAUCAAAAUCAAAAUCAGAGUACGACUUACCGCGUAUUUUGUAACUUUUAUAUUGUAAUUGUAAUUUAAUGUUUCGCUGCUUAAGUCACAAAACUAUUGACGAAAACAAAUCAGGAUCAAAUAAAAAC
ensembl:ncRNA lncRNA:CR44712 long non-coding RNA:CR44712